UGGAGCAUACAUCCUAGCUAGGUGUGGCGGUGCACGCCUUUAAUCCUAGCACUCAGGGGAAUGGAGCCUCUUGGACACCAUGACGAGGCUUCUCUCCCCUCUACGUAUAUUCACAGAAAGAUACAAGCUUAACUUAAAUGAUCCGGAAUGAACAACUGGGACGAUGGUCUUAGCCUCACGACUAUCAGUACAGAGACAACCAGAGGAAUCCCAGUGGCUUUUGGGUCCUCCUAAGCGGACAAUGAGUGUAUUGCAGAGCCCAGAUCGUGUUUCUCAGUGUCUCAAAGCCAGCCCUGAAGCCACAGCGGGAGGAAGAGCCUUUUAAUUCACAGGGCAGGCAGAUGCCUCAUGCGGGAUCAGCCUCACAGAGUGAGCUCUGGGCUCCACUGAAGUCUUCCGUGUGGUCCUCUAGCUCAGCGUCUGGCUUGUUAUUACAGGGUAGUGUCUGCUGACCACCGUAGUGGGUGUCAGGCACCCACACUUCCUUGGGUAGCAGCCCCUCUCCCGUUCCACAAGUCCUCAGUGGUCACGGAACCUGGACAGGGCUGACCAAGAUGACUUUAAUCCCGCACAGGAGGCGGGUUAAGGCAGCACAUGAACCUGUGCUGUGUGGAGAGCUGAUGGGCAGAGAGACCCUAGCAUAUCAGGGACCAGCUGUUCACAUAGCUUCUUCAUUCUGCACGUCACUGUUGGCCAGUUCACAAAGGUGGCUUGAGUCAGUGACCCACUGUGGGGACUCAGGUUACGGCACAGGAAGCCCAUGUGGAGGAUGAGCUGGGAGUCUUGGGAACCCUCACCACUGAGUGCCCAUUCUCAGAGCAGUCCUGCAGUUUAACAACUGGCAUUUAAACAGGCCUGUCUUCUCUUUCAUCGGCUUCUCACGUGGUCUCGGGGAGCUACAUCAUGUGGCUUGUCACUGAAAAGGGUACUUCCUUCCAAGUCUCAGAGACAGUUGGCACUUGGUUCUAAUAUGGUAGGAACCUCUCCCUUGAUUAGAUGAGGAAGGUCAUCCAGCUGUCUGCAUAACUGAGUGGCUGAAGGGAAAGCGCACUUGGAAUAUAAAAUCUACACAAGCUCAGGUGAGUUUCUGUGUUUUAUUCCAUUGUGGACACCCAGCGCUGAGUGCACAGCCAUGCGCUCUGUGAAGUUAUUAGGGUCUCGCUGAGUGGAAUGGAGCCUGUCGGAACCCGUAGCCCAUCUUUAGCUCACUCAGGUUACAGAGUCAUGUUGAAACAGAUCCCAUGAGCCGUGUGAAAAGCAGGAGAUCGAGCUGCUGUCCUCAAGAAGUUCUACCAAUGACGAGGAGAAAAUGCAUAUGCUGGGAACCUAAAGACUGCUCCAUGCAGGCCCAUGGGGCCUUCUGCUGUGCCUCUCCAGGCUAUUUCCUCUCUGGUGGAGAAACUCCACGGCUGCCAAGCUGGUGGAGGCAUCUUAAAUUAGAAAAGCCUGUGAAGAAAUCAAGAGACUUUCAAAGGAGGCAUCUGAGGAAAGACGAUGUCAAACUGAAUCUGUGCCAAGUGCCUCCCCCGAAGGCUGGACUGCAUUGUCGCCUUGUGGCUGCAUUAGCCUGGCUGCACUGUCAUGGACAACCCCCUCUGUGUCCUUCCUGUGACACAGGAGACAGCCCCUGGGACCCUGCCUCCUGCAAACCAUAGAUGGUAAACAGGGCUUCCUGCUCCUGCCUUUCCUGCUUCCGCUAAAGGACGUGUGUGCAAUCCUGGCCACCCGGGUUUUAUUGGAAAAGCUGCCUUCCAAGAUAACUCCAAAAAAUAAACAGAACUGGUUCCAUGCA